rnacentral:misc_RNA from 1 species
GAUCAAAUUGGACGGAUUGCCGUUGGAACAUCAACUAAUGGAGCCACAUUCAAGAUUCCUGGAAGGGUUGGUGAUGGACCUAUAGCAGGGUCUUCAGCAUAUGCGGAUGCUGAAGUUGGUGCUUGUGGAGCCACUGGGGAUGGUGAUAUUAUGAUGCGCUUCCUUCCGUGUUAUCAGGCUGUGGAGAAUAUGAGAUUGGGAAUGGAACCGAAACUUGCCGCAAAAGAUGCUAUAUCGCGAAUUGCAAGGAAAUAUCCAAACUUCAUUGGCGCUCUAUUUGCAGUCAACAGAAAUGGGACUCAUGCAGGUGCAUGCCAUGGUUGGACUUUUCAGUACUGUGUCAGAACUCCUGGGAUGAACGAUGUUGAGGUCUUUACUGUUCACCCUCAGUGAUCCAUCCCUUUAGCAUUCCCAGUUUCUAUUGAAGUUCUUCCUCUUCCAUAAAGCAGCAUGCAUAGUCUCUUUCACAUGUUGCUAGAAUUGAUGAUAUCCUUCCAUAUUGUGAACCAUAAAAAUUUUCUUUAAUACAGCAAGUUCAAAUUUGACUAUUUGAGUAUCUGCAUUAAUGACAAUUGAC